rnacentral:sRNA from 1 species
UCAAUAUUCCUUAUAUUUUGAGAUUCAAAAAGUGGAUCAAUUUUGAUUAUUCAACAUCCAAUUUUUUUAAAGAAAUCCCCAUGCAUGUUAUACUUUGUAAAAAUUGACGCAUUUUUGUCUCUUAUGAUUAUUAAUAUUUUACAAAUGUUUGGUGAAGUACCGUCCUUGAUGGGGAUAAACACAUUUUUUUUUUUUAUGUUCCAUGUACAUUUAGUCAGUUUAUGCAUUGUGUUAAACAAUGGUCUGUCUGUACUUUAUAAGAACAACAAGUUUGAUGAGAUUACUGUAAUACUGAAGAUGGAACGCGCGUGAUAUGAACACUGUCUCUAAAUCAGAAUUAUCCCAACAACGCAGUAUUUUAAUAAUUAAUGAAUUUAUUUUUCUUCAGAAUGUUAAGAUCCUAACAAACAUCCUUUAAUCUUUUUAUUUGAUUUCACAAAAUCAAUCGCAUCAAAGGCACAUACUUUAAUGAUUCUCAAUUAUCACUUCAAAGCCAUUAGGUAAUUUAUACACACCAAUAAAAUAUAGAAUUAUCAUUGAUAUGUCAGAUGUGUAUUUAAGAAGAGAUGUAUCUAUCUAAAUACAUCAGAAGAAUCCCCACUGAAAGCUUGUAUAUUUCUUGAACUUAAUGUCUCAUGUCCAUUUUGUGCAUAAUCUUAAUGUUAUUGAUUUUAUAGACAAAGCCUGCCAGAUAUAUGAACUAUUCCUAGUCAGUCACAAUUAAUCAGUCAUUAAUUAGUUAGUUACUCCAUUUGUAAUCUUGCUCAUUAUAUGUGUAAUCCUUCUUCUCCUAAUGACCUUUGGUAAUUAUGUUACUAUUCUGAUUUAAGCAAAAAACCAAUUCAUAAUCAGCGUCUGAAGGACUGGCUUGAACUUUUUUCCCUUUCGUGGAAUGCAGAAGGGUUCAGCUUGUUUGAUGGGUUAGUUAUUUAGAUACUGCUAGACUUAAAAACUAAAUGACGCUCUGUAUACUGAAGAUGCAUGAGACAUUUGGGUAGUUAAAAUGGUCUGCCCCUUGAUAUAUUUAGGGUAUGAUUAUUUUUAACUUUAUAUUAAGCAAAGAUAAAUUGAAAGAGUUUAAUAUCAUUAUGUACAUUAUUUGGGGUACAUGUAUUUUUCCCAGUAGUCUUUGUUUACCGGAAUUAGUAUUUUUUGGUGAUUUUCUGCAAAGUCAGGUUCCUUAAAAAGUGUGCUAAAUAUCAAAGUCAGUUAGAUUUUACGUGAGGCUGAAGUUAGUUUAUAAUUUUUAGAAACUUAAAAGUAAUUUCAAAGCUUAUUAUGAAAUUUCAAUAAUGAAAUGGUUACAUGUGCAAAUAAACAGGGUGAUUUUAUUAGAUUGGUACAUGUUUUUCAUUGUUUAUUUUAAGAGAAAUUGUACAGCAUGCAGAUAAAAUUUGCAUGAUAUGGCAUUUGAUUGAUCAAAGUAUUAAUGAAAUAAACGUAGACAUUAUACAUGUUCAAAGU